GGGGCCCUCGUGCCUCGGCGCUCGCAACCCCGCGCGUGAGGCGUCGGACGGCUGAGCGCGCCGGAACGGCGGGCGUGGCGGGGCGUGGCGGAGGCGUUCGCCUGUCCCUCUCUGCUGGCGAGGGCGGUUCGGCGUUUCUUCCCUCCUCACAGUGUUAAGUCGGAACCAGGUUGGCACUGCGGCGUCUGCACGAGGAGAAGGGAAGCAUAACAGUUUCAGAAAAAUCGCUGUCUUUGGAGAGAGCAGAGAAUGAGGUGGGAAAAGUCUUCAAAUAGCUGCCUAAAAUGUAUCUCAUGAGGAAUUCAGCCAUCUCUGAAGGACUUCUUUGGGAAGAGAGUGUGAGUCAAGACCUCCAGAAGCCAGGAAGAAUGUGUAGAGAAAAGGACCCAGGACCAAGCCCUGAUGCGCUGAGCCCUGGAACACGCCACCAAAUGAAGGCUCUUAAAACAUUGGACAAAGGCCAAGGAACAGUGCUUUUUUAAUCAAUCUUUUUAAAUUAAUGAAUCCCCUAUCUUAACCCUAAUCCUGAAUUUCAAUGCAGCUACGUCGCACAGUCAAUUUUAAUCAUCCAGGGUUCAGUGCAGGGAAAGGGGAUAAAGAUAGAAGAGAGGCACAAAGCUAAUUGAUGUUGGAAUAUAAAACGGAGAUCAUUUCCACCCCGAGAUGUGCACCUGGCACCAGCCUGCCUCUCAGCUCCACUGUCCUGUCAGCGGUGGAGGACCUAGCCCAGGACUAACAGGAAGACUCCAGGCUACUAUUGACAGUACGCUUGGGAAUGAGUAGACCAUGCUUUCUUAUUUAGACUUGGCCGACACCAUGACUGGUCUUUUCAAAUCUGAGACUCUUGACAACACGGCCCACUUGAUUGAUGGUAACAACUGGCUGUUACUGUUUACUAUGCUCAUUGAGAUUGCCUUUCUCCAAGUAUUCUUCAAACACUCCAGGGUA